AACGCGAAGAACCUUACCUGGGCUCGAAAUGUUAUGGACCGGGGUAGAAAUAUCCCUUCCCAGCAAUGGGCCGUAAUAUAGGUGCUGCAUGGCUGUCGUCAGCUCGUGUCGUGAGAUGUUGGGUUAAGUCCCGCAACGAGCGCAACCCUUAUCUUCAGUUGCUACCAUUUAGUUGAGCACUCUGACGAAACCGCCUCGGAUAACGGGGAGGAAGGUGGGGAUGACGUCAAGUCCUCAUGGCCUUUAUGUCCAGGGCUACACACGUGCUACAAUGGCCGGUACAAACCGUCGCAAACCCGUGAGGGGGAGCUAAUCGGAAAAAGCCGUCCUCAGUUCGGAUUGUAGUCUGCAACUCGACUACAUGAAGCUGGAAUCGCUAGUAAUCGCGGAUCAGAACGCCGCGGUGAAUACGUUCCCGGGCCUUGUA
rnacentral:rRNA from 1 species